CCAGAUUCACUGCGAAAAUUCUCUGCUCUCAUUAAGAGGGAUAGGACCGUCCAACAUGGCUUGAAACCUAUAGGAUUCUCUUCUACAGUUUCUCACUUCUAUUUUUCUUAAAGGGUAGUGCUAAAUGAUAUAAAAAUUACCCAGGUUUGUGAAUAAAAUUAUUCCUAGGCCCUUAAAUUAAAAAAGAAAUGUUACUGUGGUAUUAAUGCUUGAAAUGAGCAGCAUGGAAGAAUGCAGGGUCCAAUUCACCCAACGCACAAAAAAGCCUCAGAAGCCAAAUGACAGUAACACUGAGUGGCAAAAUUCUCACCAAGUUGCGAUUCUUGACACUCUGAUCUCUCUUAGAUCGUAGUUCGGUAUGUAUUUCUCGAAUGACAUCAUCAAGGAUUUCAUUCAUCUUCUCAAGUGUUUCGAUAUCAUCCUACAAGAAAACACAGAGAAUAUAAUGAAAUGGACCACCAGGAGGAAAGAAAGAAGAGACAGUGAAGUCAGCGAGCUAGAAGGAGGCAGACGCCCUUCAAGGGGAGGCCAUGAGAAUGGGAAUGAAAGGUUGAUUAUACCUUCUGUGUGCACCUGGAUAUUUCUUCUACAAGUUCUGAGUUUUUCUUCAUGCAACGCUUGAUCGCCUCAGAAAUCCGGUGUAAAUUAACUAAAAAGAGAUAAAAAAA